UGGGGAACAUCAAUUGUUUUGGGAAAAUCGACGAUCAUUUAAGGUAAUCUUCCUUAUAUUUAUUGUUUUUUAUAACAAAAAGUGUGAAAAAAAUGUCUAAUUAGUUAUAAAGAAACUACCAGACCUGCCAGAUCAGAGCAAUGGCACUUUUUCAAAAAAUCCCAGGGGGAACCCAAACCCAGGGUGCUCGCAUAAGGCAGCUUAACUGCCUAAAAAUGCUAAAAUUAUCAUUGAUACCUGUAUCUAACGUUCAUUUCAAGUAUUUUGUUGAAGAAAUAAAGUGGAAAGAGCUUCUUCACUCAGUCAUGCUUUGUAAACAUACACAGAUUUUACGUAUCCAUUUACAGGGAUUGAAGUUAAGAUUUUGGCAUGGUUGCCCACAGCUUAAAUUUUGUAGCCAAUAUAUAUAAGUCUAUACUAGAAAAGCAGAAAUUUCAGUAGCC
rnacentral:lncRNA from 1 species